GCGCCCGUAGCUCAGCUGGAUAGAGCACCGCCCUCCUAAGGCGGGGGUCGCACGUUCAAAUCGUGCCGGGCGCACCA
rnacentral:tRNA from 1 species